rnacentral:rRNA from 1 species
CGGGAUGAGCUCAAAUUUAAAAUCUGGCGUCUUUCAGGCGUCCGAGUUGUGAUCUAUAGAGGCGUUUUCCGCGCCGGACCGCGUCCAAGUCUCUUGGAAUAGAGUAUCAAAGAGGGUGACAAUCCCGUACUUGACGCGACAACCGGUGCUCUGUGAUACGUUCUCAAUGAGUCGAGUUGUUUGGGAAUGCAGCUCUAAAUGGGUGGUAAAUUCCAUCUAAGGCUAAAUAUUGGCGAGAGACCGAUAGCGAACAAGUACCGUGAGGGAAAGAUGAAAAGCACUUUGGAAAGAGAGUUAAACAGCACGUGAAAUUGUUAAAAGGGAAACGAUUGAAGUCAGUCGUGUGAAAGGUAUUCAGCCGUCUCUGGCGGUGUAUUUGCCUUUCACGGGUCAACAUCAGUUUGAUCCGGUAGAAAAAGGCGGGAGGAAGGUGGCACCCUCGGGUGUGUUAUAGCCUCCUGUCAUAUGUGCCGGACCAGACUGAGGA